UACGGAGGGUGCGAGCGUUAAUCGGAAUUACUGGGCGUAAAGCGCGCGUAGGCGGCUUGCUAAGUCCGCCGUGAAAGCCCCGGGCUCAACCUGGGAACUGCGGUGGAUACUGGUGGGCUAGAGUGUGGCAGAGGGUGGCGGAAUUUCCGGUGUAGCAGUGAAAUGCGUAGAGAUCGGAAGGAACACCAGUGGCGAAGGCGGCCAUCUGGGCCAACACUGACGCUGAGGUGCGAAAGCGUGGGGAG
rnacentral:rRNA from 1 species